UUUACGCUGGCUGGCCUGAAGGGGGCGAUGCUGAUUGUGACGCAUCAUUACAGCUUCAUCCGGAGACACGCACCCUCGGUUGGGCAGUCUGCUGUAACCAUUCCCCUGGCUUCCACUGUUGCCAAAGAUGUCGCGAGUUGUCGACACAUUCGCUGCCAUUGUGUGAUGUGAAGCUGAGGGGGCUUUGGGGCACUUCACGAAGGCAAUGUCGAUAGAUGAAUCUGAAGAGGCAGAGGAGCAGCGGUCGAACGUGGGGACAUCAUGAAAGGAGCCUCCGUCCUCUUCAUAUAGGCUCUCCAUCCCUGGGGGAUCCGGAGGGAGAAGAAACUCUCCAAGAGCAUCGGCCAGAGCAGAGCCCGGUUGAACAUGACGGAAGUCUGCGGGUCUGGAGGGAAGAUGACGCUGGCACGACAUGGUCCUCUCAGAUGCCUCACUCUCUGGGAUACUGCCAAGACCUGAAAGCCAAAGGCUGUCACGUCGCUUCCUGUCCUGAUGUCUCCUGCACUGUCCCCAUCCCUUAUGUGUUACCUCCAGGAAGGCAGAAGAUUUCACAGAGCUGGAGGAAAGCAUGGUGACGACUGACAGACAGUCCGGAAGCUCCUUCAGGUAGGACACAUAAAAGUCCAAGAAAUCACUCUGCAGGGAGACAGAGAGAGAUCCUGUCUGUGUUUGCAUGUACGUUUUCAUGCACCAUCCACGCACACUUUCUACUUUCUCCUCCCUUCAUUGUCAGUCUUUUGAGACUGAUUAGACUGUAAACAGCAGAUCAUGAUGCCCGUGUGUGGAUAGAAAAACAGUUAGACAAACACAGUCGAGCUUAAUGUAAGCUUCCAGCUGUCAUUCAAGUUAACUAUUUAAAAUUUUGCUGAUUUAAAACAAUUCACUCAUUUGUUUUAUGAUAUUUGUGUUCUGCUGAGGUGAGAUAUUUUCAGAAACCUCACUGGAAGUUUCAGGGCUCCCUCAAAUUCCCAUUAAAUAUAAGCACAUACAACAACCUAAACAAAUAAAAGACCUAUGAAAUGAAAAUCAAGGAAAAAAACUAUUUCAAAAAACAGUAUAAUUACAUAUUUUGACAUAAUAGAAUGUUUUAAAAAUAUAAAGCUUGUAAUUAGAUGAUUCCUGUAAUUUCUUUUCUGCUAUUUUUCUCCCUCAAGCUCAAUGCAGGAGGGCUCAUAAUACAUUGUGAAUCUGCAUUUAUAUUUUCUAAAUAGGCAGGUGUUUCUACCAAUUACUGCAUUUCCCCCCAUUCACUGUAAUGAGUCUAUUCUAUUAAAGCCAAUUAUACAUUCGCUUUGUAUUGUAUUAUACUCCAGCAGUGUAUUGCGUCUGCUUUUGGCUUUCAGCUGAUGUUUGGAUGCCACUAGCACCUUUCUAUAUGUUACAACACAAUAUAACCUUGUUUUUUACUUUCGGUAAAAGAUUUUUGAUACUUUAAAUCCAUAUGUCCCUGGAGCAUUUAGAUUUUUACACUACUGACAUUAUUGUGGCAAAUUGAAUUCCUAAUGUUGUCUGGCUGGAGGUCCCCUGAAAAGAGGGGGGAAAGGAAGUCCUGAAGUGCACUCACAGGUUUUCACAGAAAUAAAAUGUUUUAUAUAUACAAAAAUCACCAUUUAGUAUAUAAUGCCUGUAGGGGUUCAAGUCUUUCUGAGAAUUUUAAUUUUGUCACAUAAGGACUAGUAUUCUUAUUUUGUCAUCAGUUAUUUUGCACACUGAUUACUAGAAUCAUUCUUGUCUUUGUACUAUAUCUGUAUUCCAGCUCUCAACAUGGCUCUACUGGAAUUUGACAUUUUAUUUCAUGUCCGUCAUGGCUGCCAAAGCGUUUCAGAGUCAUUAUAAUUGGCCAGUCACAAGACCGAACCUUUUGACCCUUCCAUAUUAACUAGACUGGAACAGCAGUGAGCAUUGUGAAUGUCAAGUUUUUGAUUUACAAGCAAGUAAACUUGAGGUCCAGAUCUUUUAUAUAGUAUAAUAUAGUUGUUAAAGUCGCCACAGGAAUACCAGAUACAUCAACAAUGUGCUGAUUCAAUUCUGUGGUCAUUUUAGAGGCUGUGGUUUGUGGUGGUGGUGGUGUAUUGAACAGCAUUAUACAAAAAACAUUUCUUUAAUAUAUUUUCCACAGUGGCCAAACACAAAAAAAGGGCACAGAAGUGAAAUGAUCUGUUGCAAAUGCAGGGAUAGCGUGGUCACACACAGGCUGUAUUUUUCAGUCAAGCUUUUUGCUUUUAAAAAGGGGGGGACAUGCAUCUGUAACACUUAUUGCCAACAGGUGACACAGGUGUCAAGAUUUUAGAGGUAUUUAUUUUGUUUAGCAGUAGAUGGUGCAUAUUGACAUGUCUUCAUAAAUAUCAGCAGAAAACAAUCGUCUGGUGAAAUGCUUCCCUAUUAUGUGUUAAUAAUGUACACACAGUUUGGAGACUUAACACCAAAAUGAACAGCUGAAUAUUGUUUGAUGAAUCCAAUCUCAGGUUUAAAAAAAAAAAAAAGAGAAUAACUAUUCCAGUAUAGUUUGAUACUGAUGCAACUGCUAAUGUGAUUAAAGCUUGCGGUUUUCCUUACUGCAGGCCAAUACGGCGCCUGUAUGCAGACACCAGAGCAGCAACCCAAGCUAGCACAAGUAUCUUUAUGGACUAUCCAAAGCAACUGAACUUGGUUGAAGAUCAUUGUUAGUAUUUCAGGAUUUCUAAUAUCAUCAACCAAGUCCAGUUGCCCUUGAUUUUAACCUUUGGAUAACUAUGACCUGGAGGACUGAGAACCUUCACAGACAUCUUUAUGAACUACUGUCUGUGGGUCAAAAGUAAUUGCUACUUUUUGACCUCACAUUGUUCAAACAAUUCUAACAUUCAAACUCAAAUUCUGUGUUUGUUGUUUACCUCUUUGCUGGUGAGCCUCAUAAACACAUCCCCCAUGAUGCCUUGCCACUGGCUCUUGAGCACACGUUCCUGGAGAGUAUGGAGGAGCUCAAGGUGCUGCUGGAUCAGAAACCUGAGAGAGCUGGGAAAUGGACUAAAGACGGCGAGAAAGAGAGAAGAGGAGAGGAUAGAAAUCAAUUACAGAGACUACUUGAAUGAAAUAAGUUCUCUUACAGAAUAAUUACAUAAAAACUGACUUUUUUUUGGAGACAAAUUUUGUCAUGUUGAAGAGACGACUUAAAAAGGAUGCAUUUUCAGCUUCCAGAAACGGCUCAUAUACAGAAGUUAUUGUAAACAACCUUCAUCUUUGUACUUUUAUAUAAUAUACUAAACUUCCUGGUAAUUAUUGUACCAUCUUGCGUGACAGACAUCUGGCAGCAGACAAAUGAGGUUAAAACAAAUGCAAUAAUUUACAAAUCCCAUUGGACCUGCUUCAGAAUUUGCACCUUUUCAUUGGUGCUGUUUGUCACUGGAAACAUGUGUGCUGAAAUAAACACUGAUUACAUUAGCAA